CGCGCCUUUACUAUAACGGUUGAAGUUGCUACACCAAGAGCCGAGACAGAGUCAUCAGACAGAGAUUUUCUUUCCUGGGACACGGUUUCGCUGAACUAUUUGAAACAACAAUGACUAGAAAGACUGGGCUUGUCUCCUUAUCAACCUUAAGACGAAGGGCACGUGUAGACGUUCAAAAAAGGCUUCAUCAAAUUAGGACAUACUUGACUGACAUGGACAUGACAGGAACAGGGGCAGAUGACAGAGUUCUUUCUGAGGACACUGCCCCACCCUCUUCAGCUGCACAUCCAAUGCCAGAGGUGCAAGUUGUUACUGAAGAUGACAUGGAAUUGGAGUCAGGAAGCCGGUGGGUUCGGUCAGUUGGAGCCUCAAGCCCAAACCAGUUACACUGGCAGACUCCACUAUCUCGCAGAGUGCCAGGCUGCAGAGUCACUACUCCUCAACCUGGAGGAAACUGUCUAGGUAAAGUGGCCCUAUCUAGAUUAACACAGCAAUGGUCAGUCUGUUUCCAAUCAACAGAUUGCAUCUGCAUUACCAUAUCAGAUUUUC
ensembl:lncRNA